UACGUAGGGUGCAAGCGUUGUCCGGAAUUAUUGGGCGUAAAGAGCUCGUAGGCGGUUCGUCGCGUCGGCUGUGAAAACCUGAGGCUCAACCUCAGGCCUGCAGUCGAUACGGGCGGACUUGAGUACUGCAGGGGGAGACUGGAAUUCCUGGUGUAGCGGUGAAAUGCGCAGAUAUCAGGAGGAACACCGGUGGCGAAGGCGGGUCUCUGGGCAGUAACUGACGCUGAGGAGCGAAAGCCGUGGGGAGCGAACAGG
rnacentral:rRNA from 1 species